CUUACCUUCAAGAUGCGCAGUAUACGAAGGAGUCGAAUCACGUUCAUGAAGACCACAGUCUCAUUCUAUUCCUUCUUAACUGGAGCCAGGGAACUCUGCUGGAUUCUAGGCUGUAACCUCACUAGUUUGGUGUCUGCAUCCUUGAUCAAAUAUGGCAAAUGGAAUGCAGAGACGGAACUAUCUCAAAUAGUGUGCAAUGGACGCCCUACUCAUUUGAACAAGCUAUGAAGUGCAAGCCUCACAAUUUCACAACUGGGAUUGGAUACAACUGAGGGUCUCGAUGUCUGCUUAGUGAACUCUGAGACAUUUAACAGCCUUCCAACUCACUGACCCUGAACAGGGAGGGAGUUCUACUCAGGGUGCUGGGAACCCACAGUGAACAGCCCGGGCUGACAACCCUCUACCUCACUUUUGUUGAGGGCAUGACUACUUAGUACCUCAUCAAUGGGAAGUCGGUAUCCACGUGGCGGUGAGUAGUUUCUCAAGAACUGAUAUAAAAAGUUUAAUGGUGAAGGGGCGAGCCAGCAACUCACCAUGAGA